rnacentral:rRNA from 1 species
GACGAACCGUGCGAACGUUGUUCGGAUUCACUGGGCUUAAAGGGCGCGUAGGCGGGCACGUCCGUCGGGAGUGAAAUCCCCCGGCUCAACCGGGGAACAGCUCCCGAGACCGCGUGCCUCGAGGGGGGUAGGGGUCGACGGAACUUCCGGUGGAGCGGUGAAAUGCGUAGAUAUCGGAAGGAACGCCGGUGGCGAAAGCGGUCGACUGGACCCCUUCUGACGCUGAGGCGCGAAAGCCAGGGGAGCAAACGGG